CGUAGGGUACGAGCGUUGUCCGGAAUUAUUGGGGCGUAAAAGAGCUCGUAGGUGGUUGGUCACGUCUGCUGUGGAAACGCAACGCUUAACGUUGCGCGUGCAGUGGGUACGGGCUGACUAGAGUGCGGUAGGGGAGUCUGGAAUUCCUGGUGUAGCGGUGAAAUGCGCAGAUAUCAGGAGGAACACCGGUGGCGAAGGCGGGACUCUGGGCUGUAACUGACACUGAGGAGCGAAAGCAUGGGGGAGCGAACAGGAUU
rnacentral:rRNA from 1 species